ACAGCUGUGAAAGGUCAGCCCACCUGUAGGAAGGGGUCGCUGAUUCCAGAUAUACUGUGUUCUGUGGAGUAUCCUGUUGUCACCAGGGUCCGGAGGAUCUGCACCAGCUGGGGCCCAGGUCUGUCCCUUUGCCAGCCCACCUUUUGAAAGUGCCUGAGGGCUGCAGGGCUUCGUUCGCAGAGCUCGGUGAUCAGCGUGAUGGUACCCAGCAGGAUGCCUGGGGUCAGGGCAUGGGAAGUGAAUGCUCUUAUUGCCUGGGGCGGUGAGACAGGAGGGUAGGCCUGGGGUUCCCCAAGAGGCCUCCUCGUACAUUCUCACCACCCGGAGAGCCUCGGAGAGCUUGGAUUUGAAGCCAUCGCACCCCAAAGGAGAUGACAAUCCCCCCCCUUUUUUGAACUUUUUUAUUAAUAUAUUUUUUUGUUAAAUUUCUUUGUAUUUUUUUUUUCCUGCAAGACUUGGUGUUGGCGGCACUGUUGUAGUUUAACUUCAAUCCCAAAUUCCAUGAAAUAGAAAUCAGAAGAAAAGGUUGAGAGGGAGGAAGGAGGGAGGCAGGCCAAGGAGUAAACAGAGUUUGACUAGAAAAAAAGAAGAGGGUAUGUGUUGGGCAUUCCUGGGCAAGGCCAUUCCUUGAGGGAGGGGGUUGGCAGGCAGCUUGCCUCUGCCUCAUGCAGGGGAGGGAGGAAAGAUCCCCUGGGGACCCUACAGUCCCCUCUUCCUAGGGCUUCCUGCUCCCAGGGAAAAAGCUAGUACCAGGGAUCAGCCACAACAACCUCAAACAGGGCUCUCCAUCCACCUCUCACCCGGGUUUGACUCCCACCUCUGCUCUGCCUGGAAAGUGUGUGAGAGAUCUGCUUCCUCGGAUCCCCUCCUUCUGUUGUUUUCCCAUUUCACAAGAUUCUGAUGUGAUGGGGGAAGAGACAUAACCCAUUUUGAGACUACUAAACUUGUCACAGCUUCUACUUCCUGGUGAGCUCCUGUUAUCUUGUCCAGUUCUACCCCCAAGAAGUGCCUCCCCCACCCCAACUGCCAGAGUUGGGGUGUGGGGGCCUUGCUCAAGUGCCUCUAACCCUCUGCAGUAGAAAUGUCUUCUUCAGGCCCCUUAGGAAUUUAAUCAAAGGCCACAAGUGAGUCCAGACCAACCAAAUAAACU